UAAAAGGUCCUCUUAAGGACCACUUAAAGCAGUACUAAAGACGUUG
rfam:Tropilaelaps mercedesae isolate Wuxi-XJTLT scaffold0000004704, whole genome shotgun sequence.